rnacentral:tRNA from 1 species
GGAUAUAGCUCAGUGGUACAGUGCCUGCUUGGCAAGCAUGAGGUUCUGGUUCGAUUCCCAGAAUCCA